AAAAAACAAAAACAAAAAGAUGAGAGAGAAUGCAGAGAUCGUAGGCGAGAGAAAAAUCAAUCUGAUAUAGAGAGAGAAACAACAGAGAUAUAUGAAUGUAUAUGAAGAGAGAGAGACGGAGAGAGAGAGUUUGUGCUGUUCUAUAAAUUGGUGAGAAACGGUUUUGAUUUCCCUCUCUCUCUCUCUCUCUCACACACACACAAAAACACAAACACAUAAGCGAUCUCUCUCUCUCUCUCUCCGUUUCUUCUUCAUUUGUUUUCGUCUGCACUUUCUGUUUGUUUCUCUGCAAAAUUUAUCAGCCAUUUCGUUCCUUCUGGGUACUCUUUGACGGUGGUUGUUCUAUAUAUUUGACACUCUCUCUUCAAUUACUCUCAUUUGUUGGUAUACGAAGAGAGUUUUAGAGAGAGAGAGAGAGAGAGAAAUAUGGGCGAGAAGAAGCAAAUGGGUUCUCCUUCAUCUUCCUCAUUCACUUCUGAUCUUUUCGGUUCCAAGGAGUCCUCUGCUUCAUCAUCUUCUGGAAUUUUUGGGUCUAUCUUUGAGCCUUCUUCCAAGGUGUUGGGGAGGGAGUCUGUGCACUCUAAGGCGGUUGAGAAGAAGCAAGACUCUCCAAAUCAGGUUUGGAGCACCAAACCUGGAGCUCAAGACACUAUACCUCGGAGUGGUGAAGGUGAAAAUCAAAACAUACAUAACAGGGACAUGAGUCCGUUUUAUCAGGAACAAAGAGUACAACCGUGUGACCUCAGCUCAUCGAUAUAUUAUGGCGGUCAAGACAUCUAUUCUCAACCUCAGACUACCCAAGGUUCUGGGCACUCAACGGUCAAUCAAGAUGGGGUAGAAGAUGAUUCAGGCAGUGCUUCAAGAGGAAAUUGGUGGCAAGGUAGGAUGAUUGUAUGUCUGUGUCAAAUGUGCAUGGAAAGUGGUAUUACUAGUAUUGGCUAACAUCUUUGUUGAUCAAAUAUUUGCUUUUGCAGGGUCUCUAUAUUACUAAGAACUCACCAACUAUGGUGUGUGAAUUUCCCAUAUGCUCAGGAUGUCAUAUACAUAGGAUAGCAGUUUAUCAUAUCUCAUAUAUGUAGAAGAUGGAUAGUAGCAGUUCGUUGCAGACGGUCAUUUGUCGCUUUUUGCAGCGAAACAUCAAAACCAUCAUAUGCAGUCGUAGUUUAUGUACUAUUUUAUACCUCUUUUUCUUUUUCUUUUUCUUUUUCGUUUUCGUCUUACUAUUGUAAAAAGAAUGUUGAAUAUGAUGUUUUGCUGUAAAGGAUGUUUGAUUUAGUGAUUUUAUGCUUUUUUACCAUUAA